CUGGAGGAGACGAUACAGCUUCUGCUGACUUCAUUGUGUCGCCAUGUUCUGUGUUAAUGGAUAAUGGCGGCAGAGAACCAAACAUUUCAUUGAGCUGAUCUUUGUUUAUUUUCUGAGGAGAGAAACUCGAAUGAGUUGAGUGGGAAAAUGAGCCUCCAGAUGUAUAUGUACAUGUGUAUAUUAUAAUUAAACUUCUGUUGCACUCACGCAUGCGAGGUUACUCUACA